rnacentral:tRNA from 2 species
CCCUGGUCAGCUCAGUUGGUAAAGCGCUCCACUGGAAAUGGAGAGGUUUCUGGUUCGAUCCCAGGACUAGGCG